UACGGGGGGGGUAAGCGUUGUUCGGAAUUACUGGGCGUAAAGGGCUCGUAGGCGGUCAACUAAGUCAUACGUGAAAUCCCUCAGCUUAACUGGGGAACUGCGUGUGAUACUGGAUGGCUUGGAUUUGGGAGAGGGAUGCGGAAUUCCAGGUGUAGCGGUGGAAUGCGCAGAUAUCAGGAGGAACACCGGUGGCGAAGGCGGGAUCCUGGGCCAGUACUGACGCUGAGGAGCGAAAGCGUGGGGAGCAAACAGG
rnacentral:rRNA from 1 species